CGACGAUUUGACUAGAACCGUCGCAAUGUGCUUAUUUUUGAAAUUUUGCAACAGCUUAUGCGACAGUUAGGUAACCGUUGCAAUGUUUUGAAUUAAUUUUGAAAUUUUGCGACAGUUAUAUCAACCGUUGCAUUAUUUUGGCUAUUGCCGCGUAGUCAAAAUUUUGGCUCUUUCUCUAAACAAUCAAAACUUCACUCAAUCUUAUAUUAAAAAAAAAAAAAUACACUCCCCUGUGUUUAUCAAAAAAACUCACACUAAAUCCCUAAAUCCCAAAAACCACAUCUCUGCUGUCUUCUUCGAUCUCUUCGCCUUGAAUCCCUAAAUUACUAUCUCAAUCUCGUUCUCUCCAACAUCUUCAUCGAUGUCUGCAAAGAGAAAUCGUUGCCGUCCUGUUCUCUUCAAUGUCUUCACCUCAAAUCCCUAAAUUUCUCUUUCAUUAUUGUUCCAACUGUAGAAAUCGUUGCCGUCAUGUUACACGUUCAGGAACAAUUUUGUUGUAGUUCUGCUGUAUCGAUGGUAGUUCCGCACUGGUGUGGUUUUGUGUCCAUGUUGGUGUGUUCUAGCUUGAAAAGUGCUUUUGGUUGAUCUAUGAUGAUGAGCAAGGAAGCUAACAUAUGCUAAAAUAUCAUGUGAUGAGAAUGCGGUGAAAAAGAUGGAAAACAAGCCAUGCAUCUAGAUCACGAGAAGCAAUUUUUAAGGUAGAAGGAUUGCUUUCAUCGGAAGUCUUGGCUGCAUUUAAGUGAAAGUUAGUACUGGAGAGUUCAUCAAGGGAUGCUAUAACAUUAUACUUUGCAGCUUGUUAUCACAUGGGGAGAUUAUUAUAGCUCAUUAUUUAUCAAUAUUUCAGGUUUGCACUACUUAAUUGAAACUUUAAAUUAUUGGUUAGGUGAUUCUAUAAGAAAACUCAUUGUUUUUUUUUUUUGUAAGUAGAAAACUUGUUAUUAUUCUCUUUUUUUUUUUAUCUUAUCAGUUUAGAGAAGCCUAUGAGGUUCUAAGAGUUAUUGAGAUUUGUGUGCUUAAGAGUAAACCUAACAUAAGCACAACCACUUGCUAAAUGGAUAAAUUGGGGACCUUCAAUUUUAGUGAUUAUUUUCUCUUUUGAUAUUAAUGUCCAAUUAAAUGUUAAAAAUUUGGCAGAGCAUUGUGCAUUGGAUUCGACACUGAAUUGGUUCUAUGAUUUAUGUAGAAUAGAGAUGUUAAAUGCAAAAUGCAGAUUUGUAAAAUUUGGCAAAGUAGCUAAUGCAGUUUGGCAUGUGUGGAGUAAGUGAUAGUGAGUAUGGGUUAUACAGGUCGCUGCAAAUGUAAGAGGUUGCAGGUAUUUGUAAUUUGCUUCAAAAUGGAUUAUGCAGGUUUGAUAUGGGUGGAUGCAUUCAUAUUUAAUUUUACCACUGACUCUCAUUCACUUUGAUAAUACUAUAAGGAACUUUUUCGAGCAUGUGAGGAUUUAGUGAAAGAAUUAUCGAGACAUGACUCUGGGGAGAAACAAUUGAGUUUAUACAAAAAGUUUGUCCAAUAGGAGCUAAGUUUACAUGACACAAUGCAAAGAAGAGGUGGAAGACUUAGAAUUACCAAACUGAGUACGACAUUCUUUUGAUUCUAGUCAUUUACCUCGGGAUGAUCAAGCAACUUUCUUGUGAUGGACCAUAUAGAUAAUUGAUUAAAUUUUCAUGGAACUCAAGAAACCUUUUUGUAUGAUUGUUAUGUUUUAUUUAUAUGAAUGUGAAACAUAUUUGUUUCUGGAUUAGUUCAUAUUUUAAUAAUAGUAUUUAUAUAUUUAUGUAUUUUAAUUU